AAGGCUAAAUUUUAUUAUUUUUAUUUUAUAGAAAUACAUGGCUAAGGCUGCAUACCACAUCUUUUACAGGCAAUAGGUAAAUAAAUGCAUUUUAAAAUCAUUUCAAUCCGCAUGCACCCCUCCUCUGUGUAGUAGUGUAGCGUAAUACAUGAAAAUAUCACUUUCCAAUAAUAUAAUGGCAGUAAUAAAAUAUAUACAAAUAAAACAUAGGUUCUACUCCACAAAAACCUUAUUGUUCGUGAAGACAGAGGUCCUACAAAAUGAGUUGUACUCUGUAGGAAAAUGUCAGGUAAGACAUCCCACAAAAUGGCGUGGAGCUGUUAGUAAUGUACAUGAACACUAGGCCGAUAUUAGUAGCAGUAAUGCUCUUCUGUAAUCGGAAGACGCUUAUAAAGCACGAGGAGGACACUUUUUUAGCGUUCUAAUCCACGAAAUCAUACUAAUUGAAUG